GAUGAACGCUGGCGGCGUGCCUAAUACAUGCAAGUCGAGCGAACAGACGAGGAGCUUGCUCCUCCGACGUUAUCGGCGGACGGGUGAGUAACACGUGGUUAACCUACCUAUAAGACUGGGAUAACUUCGGGAAACCGGAGCUAAUACCGGAUAAUAUAUUGAACCGCAUGGUUCAAUAGUUAAAUACGGUUUUGCUUUCACUUAUAGAUUGAUCCGCCCCGCAUUAGCUAGUUGGUAAGGUAACGGCUUACCAAGGCAACGAUGCGUAGCCGACCUGAGAGGGUGAUCGGCCACACUGGAACUGAGACACGGCCCAGACUCCUACGGGAGGCAGCAGUAGGGAAUCUUCCGCAAUGGGCGAAAGCCUGACGGAGCAACGCCGCGUGAGUGAUGAAGGUCUUCGGAUCGUAAAACUCUGUUAGUAGGGAAGAACAAAUGUGUAAGUAACUAUGCACGUCUUGACGGUACCUAAUCAGAAAGCCACGGCUAACUACGUG
rnacentral:rRNA from 1 species